rnacentral:misc_RNA from 1 species
UUUCCGUAGGUGAACCAGCGGAAGGAUCAUUAUUGUAGCACCGAUGAACACGGACUGUGAAUGUCCCGACUGGCCGCGCACGCCCGACGGCACUCACACGCCUCCGUCUCACCCCUGCGUGCACCACCGCGCCCGUCCCCCCUUGGCGCGCUCGGCGGGGGGCUUACGGUGUCCCGCAAGCUUUGUUUGCAGUAAAAAAUAUAUUUUAUCUUUUUGCAAUCACGCAAUCAAUACAACUUUCAACAACGGACCUCUUGGCUCUCACAUCGAUGAAUAACG